rnacentral:misc_RNA from 1 species
GACGUAGGAUGCAAGCGUUGUCCGGAAUUAUUGGGCGUAAAGAGUUCGUAGGCGGUUACUUAAGUCUGAUGUUAAAUACCGAAGCUCAACUUCGGCAUGGCAUUGGAAACUGGGUGACUAGAGUGUGGUAGAGGUAUCGGGAAUUCCAGGUGUAGCGGUGAAAUGCGUAGAUAUCUGGAGGAACACCAGUGGCGAAAGCGCGAUACUGGGCCAUAACUGACGCUGAGGAACGAAAGCCAGGGUAGCAAAAGGG